UACGGGAGGCAGCAGUGGGGAAUAUUGCACAAUGGGGGAAACCCUGAUGCAGCGACGCCGCGUGAGNGAAGAAGUNUUUCGGUAUGUAAAGUUCUAUCAGCAGGGAAGANAAUGACGGUACCUGACUAAGAAGCCCCGGCUAAAUACGUGCCAGCAGCCGCGGUAAUACGUANGGNGCAAGCGUUAUCCGGAUUUANUGGGUGUAAAGGGAGCGCAGGCGGUGNGGCAAGUCUGANGUGAAAGCCCGGGGCUNAACCCCGGNANUGCAUUGGAAACUGUCNUUCUAGAGUNUCGGAGGGGUAAGCGGAAUUCCUAGUGUAGCGGUGAAAUGCGUAGAUAUUAGGAGGAACACCAGUGGCGAAGGCGGCUUANUGGACANUAACUGACGNUGAGGCUCGAAAGCGUGGGGAGCAAACAGGAUUAGAUA
rnacentral:rRNA from 1 species